rnacentral:rRNA from 1 species
AUGCAAGUCGAACGAGAAACCCGAGCUUGCUCGGGUGGACAGUGGCAGACGGCUUAGUAACGCGUGGGUAUCUACCUAGAGGUUUGGAACAACUAUUGGAAACGAUAGCUAAUACCAAAUAUUCCCUACGGGGGAAAGAUUUAUCGCCUUUAGAUGAGCCCGCGUCGGAUUAGCUUGUUGGUAGGGUAAAGGCCUACCAAGGCUACGAUCCGUAGCUGGUCUGAGAGGAUGAUCAGCAAGAUUGGGACUGAGACACGGCCCAGACUCCUACGGGAGGCAGCAGUGGGGAAUAUUGCGCAAUGGGGGAAACCCUGACGCAGCGAUGCCGCGUGAGUGAAGAAGGCCCUAGGGUUGUAAAACUCUUUCACCGGUGAAGAUAAUGACGGUAGCCGGAGAA